UAUAUUUUCUACGUUUGGGUGUUAAACCCAUACGCGGAAUGAAAGUGAACGGAGGUGGGAACCCUUAAGGGCGCACCAUCGACCGAUCCGGAAGUUUACGGAUGGAUUUGAGUAAGAGCAUAACUAUUGGGACCCGAAAGAUGGUGAACUAUGCCUGAAUAGGGUGAAGCCAGGGGAAACCCUGGUGGAGGCUCGCAGCGGUUCUGACGUGCAAAUCGAUCGUCAAAUUUGGGUAUAGGGGCGAAAGACUAAUCGAACCAUCUAGUAGCUGGUUCCUGUCGAAGUUUCCCUCAGGAUAGCAGUAACGUUUUCAGUUUUAUGAGGUAAAGCGAAUGAUUAGAGGCCUUAGGGAUGAAACAUCCUUAACCUAUUCUCAAACUUUAAAUAUGUAAGAAGUCCUUGUUACUUAGUUGAACGUGGACAUUUGAAUGUACCGUUACUAGUGGGCCAUUUUUGGUAAGCAGAACUGGCGAUGCGGGAUGAACCGAACGCGAGGUUAAGGUGCCGGAAUGCACGCUCAUCAGACACCACAAAAGGUGUUAAUUCAUCCAGACAGCAGGACGGUGGCCAUGGAAGUCGGAAUCCGCUAAGGAGUGUGUAACAACUCACCUGCCGAAUGAAUUAGCCCUGAAAAUGGAUGGCGCUCAAGCGUGCUACCCAUACCUCGCCGCCAGGGUAGAAACGAUGCCCUGGCGAGUAGGCAGGCGUGGAGGUCCGUGACGAAGCCUUGGGAGUGAUCCCGGGUCGAACGGCCUCUAGUGCAGAUCUUGGUGGU
rnacentral:rRNA from 1 species